AGUGAACGCUGGCGGUAGGCCUAACACAUGCCAGUCGAACGGCAGCACAGUAAGAGCUUGCUCUUACGGGUGGCGAGUGGCGGACGGGUGAGGAAUACAUCGGAAUCUACUUUUUCGUGGGGGAUAACGUAGGGAAACUUACGCUGAUACCGCAUACGACCUACGGGUGAAAGCAGGGGAUCUUCGGACCUUGCGCGAUUGAAUGAGCCGAUGUCGGAUUAGCUAGUUGGCGGGGUAAAGGCCCACCAAGGCGACGAUCCGUAGCUGGUCUGAGAGGAUGAUCAGCCACACUGGAACUGAGACACGGUCCAGACUCCUACGGGAGGCAGCAGUGGGGAAUAUUGGACAAUGGGCGCAAGCCUGAUCCAGCUAUACCGCGUGGGUGAAGAAGGCCUUCGGGUUGUAAAGCCCUUUUGUUGGGAAAGAAAAGCAGCAGGUUAAUACCCCGCUGUUCUGACGGUACCCAAAGAAUAAGCACCGGCUAACUUCGUG
rnacentral:rRNA from 1 species